UACAGCUCGGUACGUCGUCGAGGUGCGAAAUUGAUUGCUCCUCGUUCCUCACGGGUACUUCAGACUUCGGAAACUUGAUUAAACCAUAUAAACUAUUGUUGGAGCAACAGCGAGCGGUUGGGGUGCGCAAAUAAUACAGGAGAAUUCGUAAUAUAGCGCAGCAGAGGCAAAGGGGACCGGGAGUGUUAUGGCUAUACCUACUGCAGGCCGUCCUGUCCACGGGACGGGAUUCCCGUGGGUGUUUAGAAAUUUAUAAAAGGGAGUAGAUAUGGUGGGUAUGGAGUUACUGCGUAUACCUAUAUAUACACCAUCCGCACAUAGGACUCCCGCAGGAAUGCCAGAAAUGGCCCGCGGGGUCAAAAUACUCGAUGCCUUCCUGCAUUUUAGUUAAAUCCCGCGGUCGUCGCUGUGUACUAUAUACAUAUAUAUUCGCGAUAUUCGUAUACACAAAUACAAGCGUGUAUGUACGUAUCAGGUACAUAACGUAAAUAUAGACAUACACAUGGUAUACUUCGGUGUGGAAAGAGGAGGGACUUUGAAAACUACCGAGGUACGAUUAGUAUGUCGAAAGUUUUCCGACCCCGUGGGGAUUCGUUGAAAAUUUGGUUUCUGCAUUUUUCGGCCGCAGGAUCACGAGGCUGGAAAAUAAGUGAUGGCGGGGAUCGAGAAGGACCUCGCGCGACCCCCCUAUUACACAUAUAUACACGUUUGAACGUAAGCUGCACGUGUCAAAUGCAUUCCGACCGGAAAAAUCAUCGAUAACGGUAUGUGACUACGUGUAGAUGCUGUACCGCAGGCGAAAAAUCAAGCCAACGUCUCGCACCACCUUGUGUAUUUUUGAAUCUAAAAGGAAAACAAUAUCCCCGCCCAAGGGCCUUUUUAUUUAUAGUAAUUCACUUUGAACUCACUUAUACUCUCCUCUGCAAGCUCUCUCAUCGCUUCUUCGAGCACUACAUAGGUAUACCGUACUCCACACACCGUACUAUAUACCUCAUGAAAGAAUAUGAAAUGGUUAAUACCUUUUCCCCUAGUGGGAGGGCUAAAAUGUACUUUGAAAUAAUAACACACCGCGUGGUGCACGGGAGCGUCUCGACUCCGGCUUACGUAAAAUAUACGUGUACAUAUGUGUUUGUAUAUACGUUACAUAUAUGUAUGUACUGUUUUUACAUAUAAAGUAUAUGUAAACGUACCUACCUAUGAUAUACAUAUACUUAUAUCGCACAUACUGCUCGUAGAUUCGAUGUGUGUAUGUUCAUACGCAUGGAUAGCAUAUGCCGAGUUAUACAAAUAUAGAUGCGCGUAGCGUAUCUACGUAUUUUAUGUAUGGUAUAUACAUGUAUAUGCAGGAGCUAGCGGGAAGAAACAAAAACGUUUCAUAAUUUAUCUGAGAGGUAAUUUCCAGGGACCGUUGAAAGCCAAGACGUGUCUGGCUUCUCUGCACAUAAUAUUCUUUUUUUUUUUUUUUUUUUAUUACUUAUUCUUUGUUUUUCAUGUUUUCCCCACAGUAUUUUCCUUCGUUUUUUUUCCAUCCCUUGAAUUUCGUAUCGCGUAUGUAUAUUGCCAUUUUGCCGUAUAGAGCGAAAGCAUUUUAUAACGACUGGGAUAUGAGGAGGAGGAGUUCACAUCAGCGGUGAAAUUUUCAUGCUUUGUAUAUUCCCACCCUUAUGGUAAGCUUUAUAACUGAACUGGCUGUCGAAACAAAGGGGAAAGAAUUCAAUUGACCCGGAGUACAGAAGUGAAAUUGAAAUCCAGGUGAUGGCGAUGAAGUGAGGUGACUACAGGGGAGUGUGUCACUUGUACCGAAAUCGUACCAAAUUCACUGGAAUCGAUGAUCUGAUCGGUGGCAGCAGAUUUCAACUGAACCGCGGCGCAGGGACGGGUACGUAAGUUUUGCAAUUAAUGUAUAACAGAUUGAUUCGCCAUUGUGGAGAAGUGAAGCUAACGCGCCGGUGGCUUUUGCCGGGUAGAAAACUUCUACACGGUACACGUACCGUGGGUGGUCGGUGAUCUUUUCCCUGAAAUUAAUUACACUAAUGCCGUCAAUUAAUUAUCCACGUGCAAGGUCUGCAGGAAGCGGGAGUUGUCCGGGUGCCACAUAUACGUGUGGAAUCGGGAAAAAAAUCAGAACGUGGCUGACUGGCUCCCCCAACACGCGAAACCGGGAUGAAAUUGGAACCAGGAACCGUGAAAACUGCGUGCCCAACCGUCUGGUUCGGAGCUCCUCUCCUCUCCUAUCCUCUCCUCUCCGCCCCGCUCCUCUCUCCUCUCUUUUCACUUUCACCCAUUUCAGUGGAUAGACGGGUGAGGUGAUGGUGAAUCCCCGUAUCCCGAGGGGACGUCUCCUGCGGGUGCCUGUGCAGUUCGGGCGCCAGGAUUCACGGUGGGCGUGUCCCUUGGAUAUUAGGUUUUAAUCAUUUAGGGGAUGAAAUUUUAGGAUGGAGGCGUGGUAGUCUGCUGCUCUGCCGGGUACACCCCUUCCUGUUUUAUCAUCGAUGAAAAUGCAAACGUCAUUUUGGUCAUAUCCAAUGCACUUUGAUCAAAUCAUUUGAAACCAUAUGUAUACUCCUUCCUGUCAUCUACCUAUCGUCUACCCGUGGACAAAAUUUAGAGUCCGAUCCGCGCCACCACGCCUUCUCAUUUCAAAAACCGAAACGAAGAUUUUGUCAACGGGGGUGACGGCAGCAUCGCAGAAAGAAAACCGUGGAAUAAAGAAGAAACGAGCUUGAAUCUAAA